GAUGAACGCUGGCGGCGUGCCUAAUACAUGCAAGUCGAGGGAACAGACGAGGAGCUUGCUCCUCUGACGUUAGCGGCGGACGGGUGAGUAACACGUGGAUAACCUACCUAUAAGACUGGGAUAACUUCGGGAAACCGGAGCUAAUACCGGAUAAUAUAUUGAACCGCAUGGUUCAAUAGUGAAAGACGGUUUUGCUGUCACUUAUAGAUGGAUCCGCGCCGCAUUAGCUAGUUGGUAAGGUAACGGCUUACCAAGGCAACGAUGCGUAGCCGACCUGAGAGGGUGAUCGGCCACACUGGAACUGAGACACGGUCCAGACUCCUACGGGAGGCAGCAGUAGGGAAUCUUCCGCAAUGGGCGAAAGCCUGACGGAGCAACGCCGCGUGAGUGAUGAAGGCCUUCGGAUCGUAAAACUCUGUUAUUAGGGAAGAACAAAUGUGUAAGUAACUAUGCACGUCUUGACGGUACCUAAUCAGAAAGCCACGGCUAACUACGUG
rnacentral:rRNA from 1 species